UGGAGGUGACCACAUGCUGUCUGUGU
rnacentral:piRNA from 1 species